UCUUUUGCUCUCCAGAAUUUGUCUGUCCUCUGGGGUGGAAUCUGUCGAGCCUUGAGAGAAGCCUGUCUUGCGCUGGCGCUGCCAGAGGCAACCUGCGUACUCCAGGAGGUGAUGGGGAUCCCCUCGUUCCUAGCCCUCCCCGCUGCCAGGAGUGACUGGGCUGAUUGCAUGCCCUGCCAUCCUUUGGGCCACAUGCUCCUGUGGACAGCUCUGCUAUUCCUGGCUCCUGUUCCUGGGACACGUGCAGUUCUCCCAAAGGCUGAGGUGAAGCUUCAGCCUGCAUGGAUCAAUGUGCUCCAGGAGGAUUCUGUGACACUGACGUGCCAGGGCGACCAUGACCCUGGGAACACCACCACCCAGUGGUUCCAUAAUGGGAACUUCACCUGGACCGAGAACCAGCCCAGCUUCAGCUUUAAGGCCAGGAGAGCUAGCAGCGGAUACUACAGGUGCCAGACUGCCUACUCCAGUCUCAGCGACCCUGUGCAUCUGGAUGUGAUUUCUGACUGGCUGCUGCUCCAAACCUCUAGUCUGGUUUUCCAGGAAGGGGAGCCCAUCUUGCUGAGGUGCCAUAGCUGGAGAAACAAGCCUCUGCAUAAGGUUGCAUUUUUCCAGAAUGGAAAAUCUAAGAAGUUUUCCUAUGUGGAUUCCAACUUCUCCAUCCCACAAGCAAACCAGAGUCAUAGUGGCGAGUACCACUGCACAGGAUUUAUCGGGAAGAUGUCGUACUCAUCACAGUCUGUGAACAUCACUGUCCAAGCAGAGAAAGCUGAGGAUGGGGAGGAAGAAGGCCAGUCACAGAAAUCCGGUGCAGGGUCCAGCUUGAACAACUUGCUGGUGACGAUAGUUGUGGCUGUGGUUGCUUGGAUUGUUGCAAUGGCUAUUGCUGCUGCCAUAGCAGCCUGGUUCCGCCUCAGGCGAAAGCGGAUUUCAGAAUGUGGAGCGUGGGACACAGAAACUCCUUAUGUCCUGGAGAUGAAUGAAGACACUAGAUGCAUUGUCUCAGACUCCUUCCCCACUUCUUAAGGAAUGCUGCUUUGCAGAUACUGAGGCUGCUUUUUGCACUGGCAAACCAAUCACACUGAUGCUGAAGAGGCUGCCAAAAUUGAGGCUGAGGAUACAAUCACCUAUUCACUUCUCUUGCAUCCGGAAGCUGCAGAAGGAGAAGCAGAGGCUUCAGAUUACCAGAACCACAUUUAAAUUUCAUUAUCUUGCCUGGGACUUGGGGAAGAGAAUAAGGAUUUGGUGUUUUCUGCCCUGAAUUCCUCUUAGGGAGGAGAAGAGAAUUUCGCAGUUGCAAAGGAAAACGACCCCUCCAGAGUUAUCUACAUGAAUCCUGAAGCUCCCUUUUCUGAAAGCCACAGACAAUACCGUCUCAGAUAACUGACCUGCUGAUUUCUUCUGUGCCUCAGCACUUCUCACCAUUAGGACUCUUCUGUUAGACUUCCACACAGCCAGUGAAAAUUACUUUUAAUAAGAGAUUGUAGCAACACGGGAAAUACUUAUGUUACAGAUGACAUGAGAAAAAUUAUAUAAAUAUACAUGAUUUCAGAAAUGUUGAAACAGACUAACAUAUGCCAAUAUAUUAAAAGCAAUUGUUUCAGGGUGAUGGAAUUAUUGGCGCUUUUCAUUUCCUUUAUUUUUCUGUGUAGAUCAUAUAUUACUUUCAUAAUAAAAUACUACACAAACAACA